CUACGGGCCGCUGCAGUGGGGAAUAUUGCACAAUGGGCGCAAGCCUGAUGCAGCCAUGCCGCGUGUAUGAAGAAGGCCUUCGGGUUGUAAAGUACUUUCAGCGGGGAGGAAGGGAGUAAAGUUAAUACCUUUGCUCAUUGACGUUACCCGCAGAAGAAGCACCGGCGAACUCCGUGCCAGCAGCCGCGGUAAUACGGAGGGUGCAAGCGUUAAUCGGAAUUACUGGGCGUAAAGCGCACGCAGGCGGUUUGUUAAGUCAGAUGUGAAAUCCCCGGGCUCAACCUGGGAACUGCAUCUGAUACUGGCAAGCUUGAGUCUCGUAGAGGGGGGUAGAAUUCCAGGUGUAGCGGUGAAAUGCGUAGAGAUCUGGAGGAAUACCGGUGGCGAAGGCGGCCCCCUGGACGAAGACUGACGCUCAGGUGCGAAGGCGUGGGGAGCAAACAGGAUUAGAUACCCGCGUAGUC
rnacentral:rRNA from 1 species